rnacentral:rRNA from 1 species
UAUUGGGCGUAAAGGGCUCGCAGGCGGUUUCUUAAGUCUGAUGUGAAAGCCCCCGGCUCAACCGGGGAGGGUCAUUGGAAACUGGGGAACUUGAGUGCAGAAGAGGAGAGUGGAAUUCCACGUGUAGCGGUGAAAUGCGUAGAGAUGUGGAGGAACACCAGUGGCGAAGGCGACUCUCUGGUCUGUAACUGACGCUGAGGAGCGAAAGCGUGGGGAGCGAACAGGAUUAGAUACCCUGGUAGUCCACGCCGUAAACGAUGAGUGCUAAGUGUUAGGGGGUUUCCGCCCCUUAGUGCUGCAGCUAACGCAUUAAGCACUCCGCCUGGGGAGUACGGUCGCAAGACUGAAACUCAAAGGAAUUGACGGGGGCCCGCACAAGCGGUGGAGCAUGUGGUUUAAUUCGAAGCAACGCGAAGAACCUUACCAGGUCUUGACAUCCUCUGACAAUCCUAGAGAUAGGACGUCCCCUUCGGGGGCAGAGUGACAGGUGGUGCAUGGUUGUCGUCAGCUCGUGUCGUGAGAUGUUGGGUUAAGUCCCGCAACGAGCGCAACCCUUGAUCUUAGUUGCCAGCAUUCAGUUGGGCACUCUAAGGUGACUGCCGGUGACAAACCGGAGGAAGGUGGGGAUGACGUCAAAUCAUCAUGCCCCUUAUGACCUGGGCUACACACGUGCUACAAUGGACAGAACAAAGGGCAGCGAACCCGCGAGGUUAAGCCCAAUCCCACAAAUCUGUUCUCAGUUCGGAUCGCAGUCUGCAACUCGACUGCGUGAAGCUGGAAUCGCUAGUAAUCGCGGAUCAGCAUGCCGCGGUGAAUACGUUC